CUCUAUAAAUGAAGACUCAAGGAUGUCUUUGUCUUUGCCAACUUGACUUGAAGAGGCUUUUUCAAUGGACAGUUCCGCCGCCAUCUGUCACACCUCCUUUUUCCCUGCAAGGGAUAGGGAGUUUUUCUAAUUAAAAUGGCAAUAACUGAAACGAGAUUAUUUAUAUUCAAAUUUAGAGUCGCCACUUGGGAUAAUUUAUAGUGUCCCAAGUCACCGCUUUAAAAUUCCGAAUCGAGAAAGUUGACUCUUAUUUAUGAUCUACAAACACAGAAAUCCGGGUAAGGAAUUUUGCUAACCCGGGAGAAGGUGUGAGGCACUCCCGAGUUUGUGGUUUUAGCACGGUUGCUUAACUAUUAAUAAUUGGCCUUAUUAUCUGAAUUAUUACAUAUUUGAACCUAUUGUGCAUUUUUGUCUUCUAACUGCUUUCAAUUAUUCAGUUAACUGCUUUUAGUAUUUAUGGGAUUAUUUCUGGAAUAAGUUACGAUGUCGUACACUUGUCGUUUUAGUACAUUUUACUAACCGCGUCACGUGAAACGCAUCCGCAAUUUACAACAUGUUUAUUUUUAUUACUAUUCGAAAUUAUGGUCGGGUCACAUAAAAUACACACCCGAAUUUGGAUUUAUGUAUCGUGACUCUGCCACGGGAGCCGUACCCAUAGCCAUGAUGAUUUAUUUAAGCACACGUAAAGCAAGCUACGAUGUUCAUGAUUAUCGUCCUAAACUAAUUUGAGAUUGUUGUGAAGGCCAUAAGUUAUGGAAAUCAAAAUUGGGUUAACUUCUAAUUUCAAAUCUAUAUAAUUCAUUAUACCACUUCACAAUCAAAUCAACGAAUUCAACAAUGAUCUACUUACUCUUUUGGUUCAAUCAAACCAACUAACCCUAGGGAAAGAAAGAAGAAUUGAUGGACACAAUCAUCGAAAUGAAUAUUAACGCAAUUGUUUGUCAGUUGUCACCUACUAUAAUUAUAGUGACAUUAGUGUUCUUGGCAGGACAUAUUCACAUCAUAAUGAAUUCCAAACAACGGCUCAGUACAAUACUUGGUGUAGGAUAGGAGAAAAUAACAUUAACCAUACUUCAAAAAGAUCAGCAACUUGUAAUUAAGACAUGGCAAAUGACUCCUAAAUGUCAAUCUCAACUUAAUAAGAAGUAAAGCAGCCCAAAGUUUUUAACUAGCUAGGCGUUUUGGACAACAUUUGAAUCGAAAUAGGAAAAAACAUAGCACUUGAAGCUGAAAAGUGUUGUGGAAAUCAUUAGCGUUUAGAUAUGAACUUCAUUUGAAAUUUUCUUUUGCCAAAAUUAAAAAUUUUGAGAGUGAAAAAUACAACCUAAAUCAAUAUUUCAGUUGAAAUUCAAAGAAAAUACUUCUAAUUCACAUAAUCAAUGUCCUUUAAUUUAAUUACUUUAACUAAUCCGACAACCAAUCAUUUGGAUUCCAAACAAAACUUGAUUAGAGCAAUUUCACAUUCGGCAAAAAAAAAAAUUAUCAUCGCACAAACAAACUAAAUAAACUUCCAAGAAUAUAUUGAGCAAACUAACGAGAUACAUGAAAAGAAUAGACCUCAAGCAGAAUGUUGUCUUCACUGUUAUAACUAAAAUAGCCUCCUCAAACAACAAACUUGAUCCAAUAUUUAAAAAGAAAAUGGGGACAACAAAAUCAGAACUGAAACCAUGAUCGACGACGCUUAACAGACGACCCCACUGAACUCGAAUUCCCUCAGAACGAUAUAACCCCGGACGAAACUAAAACGGAGCCCCUGAACGACGACCAUUGACAACCUCGAAGCCCGCUGGAAGUAUCAAACUAAACCAGAAUGACAAAAACUAAACUCCGACUGGUUUUUGAGUUUCUUUGGAUUGAUUUUGGGUUGUAUUGGUCUGGUUUUAUGGGAAAGAUGGCUGGUUUGGGGUCUCAUGUUUUAGAUCUAUUCCUUCAGCAAAUGAAUUUUUUUCCGAAGAAUAGAUGAAGCCCGAGCAAUUUGCUAUGAAGGAAAUUCCGAAUGAGUUAACAAGAAAACAACUAGAUGCGCCGUAUUAUCGUGAGCUUGAGGAGACUGUUUUGUUAUAUUUUGGUCGAAAGUGGUGGUUGGCAGCGAUGAGCAGCCGGUGGAGGGAGGUGGACUAGCGGCAACUAUGGAUAUUGGGGUCUUAGGUUGGAGAAGAUCAAGACUUAGGGUUUUUUUUUGGUGCUGAAGAUGAAAAACGGCUGGGUUAGCUGUUCUCCUGUUCAUUAGAGAUUAGGGGUCCUCUAGGUUAAGCGAGAAGAUAUGAUGUCUAGAAGGGUCUCUAGGGUUAGCUUAGUGGGUAUUGGGCUUUAUGGGCCGAUCCGAAAAUUGGUCCUAAAAAUGGAUUGUCUGAGCCCAAACUUUAUUCUUUCUCAUUGAACAAGAUUAAAAAUACUACCCCAUUUACUAAUUAAUCCUACUUAAGUAAAAUAAUUAUUAAAAUAAAACUAACCGUUAAAACAAAC
rnacentral:lncRNA from 1 species